rnacentral:tRNA from 1 species
GGCUCUGUGGCACAAUGGAUAGCGCAUUGGACUUCUAAUUCGAAGGUUGUGGGUUCGAGUCCCACCAGAGUCG